AGUGAGCGCUGGCGGUAGGCCUAACACAUGCAAGUCGAACGGCAGCACAGUAAGAGCUUGCUCUUACGGGUGGCGAGUGGCGGACGGGUGAGGAAUACAUCGGAAUCUACUUUUUCGUGGGGGAUAACGUAGGGAAACUUACGCUAAUACCGCAUACGACCUACGGGUGAAAGCAGGGGAUCUUCGGACCUUGCGCGAUUGAAUGAGCCGAUGUCGGAUUAGCUAGUUGGCGGGGUAAAGGCCCACCAAGGCGACGAUCCGUAGCUGGUCUGAGAGGAUGAUCAGCCACACUGGAACUGAGACACGGUCCAGACUCCUACGGGAGGCAGCAGUGGGGAAUAUUGGACAAUGGGCGCAAGCCUGAUCCAGCCAUACCGCGUGGGUGAAGAAGGCCUUCGGGUUGUAAAGCCCUUUUGUUGGGAAAGAAAAGCAGCAGGUUAAUACCCCGCUGUUCUGACGGUACCCAAAGAAUAAGCACCGGCGAACUUCGU
rnacentral:rRNA from 1 species